rnacentral:ncRNA from 1 species
GUACGCUCACUCCACAUUAUGAAUGUACGUACAUACAAAAAGGAGGAUUAUUUCCGUGGCUCGCGGUGCGGCAGUGUGGAGACCUGUCGUAAUGCGGUGCAUUUCAACGAAGAUGCCGCGAGGCGGUUUGGAGGAGUCCUUACCGUCAGAGUUUAUUAAAUGU